ACAUACAUUUUGAAUCUAGAAAUCAGCGAUCAAUAAUAAGAUAAAACUUUAGCCUUAUCUAUAGAUAAUUGCUUACCACUGAUGAGUUUUCUGCUCUCAACGGAGGAGAUGAUGAGGAAAAGACAGAGCACAAGAGCCACAUUGAGGAACAUGUUCAUCUUGUUGUUGGAGACAGUCAAAGCCAUUGUUGCUUUAUAUGUUAUGGGUAUCGGAUUGUUGCGAUUUGAGUAGUGAGUACCGACCAUCAUCUUAUUAGUCUUUGGCAAGGAGAAGCAGAAAAACUCAAAGUCUCAAACUUGCUCAAACUUUAGCCUCACCUCCACUUUAUGGAAAGUCUUCUGCAUAAAAUUAUGAAUAUUGUGUUUAUCUUCAAUUCAAAGCAUGCUUUCAUUGUUUUCUACUUUUACAAUCAUCAGUUGGCAUCCUCCGGUUUCGUCAACUAGUUUCUAACCUAUUCUCAUAUCUGUUUUUGUUUCAAGAAUGGAUUUUGACUGAUGACUCAGAUCUUGUUUAUCAGUUGCAGGUAUUUUACCCAAGAAAUAGUAAAUCGGUUCCAGGUGUAUUCUCUCCCCCUCUCCCCUUCACCCCAUACUGUAUGAUCAAUUUGUUAUUGGGAUCUUAAAUCUUUUCGGUGUUCUUGGUUCCCGUUUCUUGCAAUGGAUUGUAUUAUGAUUUGGCGUUCUUAGUUAUGAAGUCGGUAUUCUAAGAUCUGGGUUUUGCAUGUAGCACUCAAAGUAUGCAAUCAAAGGCGGAGGAGAGAGAAAAAGCUAAUACAAUUUGGAAGCACUGGUAAAUGUUCAAAAUCCAUGGAUCUGGGUGAUUUGUUUGUUCCUGAUCGAGGAGGCCAUGGUGGUAUGAAGCCAGAUCAGCCUCCAAACAUGGCAAGCUCUGCUCUUUCUUCUUCUCUGCCUCCCGCAAUGUCUUCGUUGGUUCUGUGCUCUCAGCCAUUGCAGUAGCUCAAGGUUCAGAGUGAAAAGGGAUAAAACGGUCGCAACUAGAUUGACUCAUAUUUGAGAUGUUAAUGUCUUUUUGUUUUGGGGGUGAUCAGCCCGAGACUAAACUCUGUAAAAUGGCUUCGUUUGCCAGUGAAGAAAAUAAAAUUCAGUGAGAGAGUUUCACAUAGAUUUUAGUUUACUU